rnacentral:lncRNA from 1 species
CUGAAGAUCUUGCGCCUUUCCAAAAGACCUGUGUCAUUGCUCAGUCACCCUCACACUGGAAAUAUUUCCUGAUGUUCAGAUGGACUCUCCUGUAUUUUGGUUUGUGCCCACAGCAUCUUGCUCUGGCACCGGACCACUGAAGUAGCCUGGCUUUGUCAUCUUUACACGCUUCCUUCAGGAGAGAUGAGUAGGACCAGAGAACUCCAUCUCCACUGCUGUAAUUUGCACUGCGCUUCAGAAUAUUUGCACAUCAAACCAUUCUUCAUCCUGGGAGUGAGUGCCUCAGAAGGUAUUUUUAUAUUUUUGUGUGUGUGUGUGUAUCUAUAUAUGUGUGUGUAUAUAUAUGUAUAUAUAAAAUGUAAGUAUAUAUGUAUAUUUUCUCCUCGUUUGAAAGGCUGGUGCGUGACAAUCUGCCAGUCAUGUUCCUUGAGAGCAGGGUAAAAAAAGAAAAAGCAAAGACCUGUAACUAAAGUAUUCUCUGGAAAAACGCGGGGCUGUACACGACAGGAAUACAAUGUGGUGGUCUUGUGCCAUAUCAUGGUUCUCAUCCUGAUGCUUACGUCGUCUUUAGAAAGGAAAAUAUACUUGUGUGCCAUCUUCAGCAUAACUGUGCGCUCAUGCUGCAUGAUUUAAGGUUGCCAACUCAGCCUCUGAUAUAGCACUGUAAGACUGCUUGAGUGUUGGCAGCUGCUGGCAGUUCCUUAGCAUGGAAAAUCAUAAGGAUAACUGUAAAUGAGUUGAGAAGCAUCUCCUCCCUCCUACUCAUACUUGUCACAACCCAGAAGAACAUGAAGUACCUCAACUUCCACCAACAAACCAAGGUAGGUCAUUGACCCAUUUUACUGAAGGUCUCUCCCAUCCUCUCAGCCAGAAAUGCUGCUUACUGCCACGUUCUGUAGCUGUUUACAGUCCGAUUCUGCCCACUGUUUAGGUAAAGCGUUAUGAAUUUGCAUCAGUGCAAAGGAAGGAAGUUACAGCUUCAGUAAUAUGUGUGUUUCAAUUAAUUUCAAGUAAGUAAGCAUAGCUUUAAGAAAUGGAUCUCGUCUAACAAAGCGAUUUAAUUCCCCUGAGCCUUGUUUUCAGAACAAGCUUCUAAAGUACAGAGAAAAGUACCCUUUAGCGAUGACAGCAAUACAGCGAAGGACUCACUGAAGGAAACUGCUCUAAAUGCUGUCUGGGCAAAUUUGGAACUUGGAACAAGGGAAAGACAUCUAGUCUUAGGAAACCAUAAAAAACAAUAAGAGAAGACUAUAGAAGAUUCACAUACCUGCAGCUAAUGGAGACAGCUCCUGUGGACAGGGAUUGAUGGCAGCAAUACAGAUUUGAGGGGAGGCUGAAAAAAAGAGCACAGUAUAUGCUACUUCAACUCUUGAAGCCUGCCUUGCUGGAUGAGCCUCUCCUGUAGAUUUCUGCUGAAUGCUUCUGACCUUGAAUAAUAAUUUUAAAAAUCUUCAGACCCUCCAUAGAUAUUUUAGCAUUGAGUCCAUCCCCUGUGCUGAGCCCCAGAUUUUCUUCAAAACUUCACACUCCUUUUCAUUUGCUUGUUCCAAGUCCACCUUCAUAAUAUUACGUACUAGAGCUUUGGAUUCUUCAAGUACCUACACAAGAAAAAGAAGAGUUUGUUCAGUUUUGAGCAACUUGUGCAUUUAGUUUUAUUCAAACAGACCCUGAUGUUAUUCAUAAAUUUGAGUUUUCAAACUGUUCAUGUACCACAUGUGCAUGAUUUUAGUGAUAACGAGAGAAAACGAACUUCAUUUUGGUGAAGGUUAACUGUAAUACUGUUAUCCAGAACUGCUCUAGAACCUGGCAGACAUUCUAGUUUAAACAACAUUUUUAAAAAAGAUUGAAAAAAAAUCAAAGGUUGACUUUUUCACUUGUUCUGUUUCAAAAUCCACAAUUUCUAAUGCACAGAACAGUUGUCUUGUACUUUAUCUCUUACCCUAAGGAAGCAGGGGAUUGUGGCAGUUGCAACAUACCGAAGCACAUACAGACAUGAGUGCCACAAGUAUCACCAGUAAAAACUGAAAGCUUAAGCUAUUGUCAAAAAACUCUGUUUUUGCUACACAAUUAUUUUUAAGUUUUCAACUUCCUUCAUAGUUUAAAUUACAACAAAAUAUGAUGAGGGCAACUGUUUACACUGUUAAUUAGAAUAAGUAAGUUGGACUUAUCUACUGUAUCAUUUAUACUUAAGUUAAAAAUAAAGUAUAUUUUUAAAGAGUGCUGUGUUCUUAAC